UCCAUACACUACAAGAAAAAAAGCAAAUAGCGACAGGCAAAUUGGGGCAGUUGCUAUUGAACUGCCGCCGCUUUUGUCUUUCUCGGCAGUUAUUGCGGCGUUUCUCAACCGCCGCCCCUGUUUGUAGAUCUGGAUGGUUUUAACCCUCUUUUCUUUAAUUGGAUUCACGCUUUAUCCUAUUCAAUCAAAGAAAUCUUUAAUUUUCUUCCACAAACCCAAUAUUAAUUGGUGAUUCUCCCUAAAUCUCAAACCCCAGUAUGGAUUCGUCCCCAAAUCCUUAACCCAGUGUCGAUUCAUCCCCAAAUUCCAGACAUCAGUUCGCACAAAAUCUCUUGAAGAAUUGGUACCACCAUCGAAGGUUCAUUCUUCCACUUCAACCGAUUUCGUCGAUGCCGAUUCUUCGUUAGUCAAAGUCUAUAUCCUCUGCUAUUUAGUUUGGAAGUGAUGUUGGUGAAGCCUUGGAACCACAACGAAAGCUUCAGUUUGGAGUGUUUGAAUGUGGCAUGCUAAAGUGUGACUGAGGGAGUUAUAGAAGAGUUUCUUUUAGAAGUAACCUUGCCUCUCUUUCCCAGACAGUGUUGUUGACUCCUCUUCUUUCUUGCGUUUGAUUGCAGCGUUAUCUUCCCUGAUUUCUGCGUUGCUUUGAACCUUUGGGGUUGCCAGCAUGUCCUUGCUUUACCCGAAUCAUCUUUGAACUUGUCUCGCUAUGACGGUAUCAGAUAUGGAAACCAAGUUUACACUGAUUAGUUGGACUCUCUCUUUGGAGAUUCCCAAGCUAGAGGGUUAAGCUCUCUCUUGUCAAGAAUUGACGUAUGAUGUGCUAGUAGGAGAACAAAUAUACACUAGCUAUUAUUCUCCGAUAGGAGCUAGAGUGAAGUGUCUCUCAUAUGCCGGUUACUUUAUCAACGCCAGAAGGGAUGUCUCUGGAACACAGCACAUUAAACAAUUCUUCAGUCAAAUUGUUAAAAAACAUGGCUCUGCAGGGAAUUUGCCUAGAUCAUGCACUUCAAGACUUAGUCCAAGGCUGUGCUUUUUCCCUCAAUAUGUUGUAUCACAAAUCACCACACCAAUCUUCUUUGUAAACGCGACAUAUGACUCAUGGCAGAUUAAGAACAUUUUGGCACCUGGUGUUUCUGUUCCUCAUGGGCACUGACAUAGCUGCAAGCUAGAUAUAAACAACUGCUCUUCUAAUCAACUUGAUCUAAUACAAGGCUUUAGAACACAAUUUCUAAGAACAUUGACUUUUUUUUCUGGUAAGCAAAGAGAGCAUUGAUUGUAGUUCUUGUUCUUAUGUUCCAAAAGGCUAUUGAAUCUUUUGAGGUUGAUGCUUAUGUAUCUUGUAGUAGUUAUGCUAGUGUUUAUUGGACAAACCAGUAGUGAUCUUAAGCAAAAGCACUUGUUGCAUGAGUCACAAUUUAGUUACUUUAAUAAAAAAUUUAUGUUUAAAAAAAA